rnacentral:rRNA from 1 species
GACGAACGCUGGCGGCGUGCUUAACACAUGCAAGUCGAACGGAAAGGCUCCAGCUUGCUGGAGUACUCGAGUGGCGAACGGGUGAGUAACACGUGGGUAAUCUGCCCUGCACUCUGGGAUAAGCCUGGGAAACUGGGUCUAAUACUGGAUAUGACCUUUCUCCUUAUGGGGUUUGGUGGAAAGUUUUUCGGUGUAGGAUGAGCCCGCGGCCUAUCAGCUUGUUGGUGGGGUGAUGGCCUACCAAGGCGACGACGGGUAGCCGGCCUGAGAGGGUGAUCGGCCACAUUGGGACUGAGAUACGGCCCAGACUCCUACGGGAGGCAGCAGUGGGGAAUAUUGCACAGUGGGCGGAAGCCUGAUGCAGCGACGCCGCGUGAGGGAUGACGGCCUUCGGGUUGUAAACCUCUUUCAGCAGGGACGAAGCGUAAGUGACGGUACCUGCAGAAGAAGCACCGGCUAACUAUGUG